AUUUUCUUAAUUUUUAAAAAUUUAUUAUUAUCUUUUUUUUUUUUUUUUUUUUUGCUAUGCCUGGAUUCCCUUCAAAAUAACCAAAUUGCAUUUCAUCACCAGGUCUUUGCUGUGCUUCUCACUGUGGCACUUUCUAAGACUGUGUGUGUGCAUAUGUGUGUUUAUAUGAUGAUUUUGUCAUUUUGAGAAGAAGUAUUAAAACCUGGAAGAACUUAUUACUGUAAUUUAUAAAUCAUUGCCAUUACUGAUAUGAAGUGGAGGCGUUGCCUGUCUGUUUAAUAACAUUGAUAUGUUUGAUUCUAUCAAUUUGAUAUUUUUGACACCUCAUGUUCAGUUUCUUUCUUCCACCAUAUUUUCUACCAUGACAUUUUUGCCUUGGAACCAGCUGACCAUGCAUGGACUGCACCCUCUGAAACUGUAGGCUAAAAUAAGCCUCUCCUUUAAAUAGUCUUGGGUAUUUUGUCCCAGUGACUGAAAAGUGAUAAUGUGUUAAUGUUAAUGUCACUUCUGACAUCUGAAAUAACAUUACCACAUAUAGGUAGCAAUUUGUAUUGUAGUAUUGGAUGUGAUGCUCUGCUCAUUUUGGGGUUUUUUUGUGUGUGUUUCAAUUUUGGUAUUUUCAACUGACCUAUCUUAGUAAUUCACAGGUGUUUUCAUGAACUACCAAAUCUGUUUAUGAGGCUUAUCUAGUGAUUUUUUUAAAAUGUAAAAAUACUGGUUUUAUUUUUAGUUCUAAAGGGUUUUUUUUGUUCUUUUUUAUACUAUUAGUUUCUCAUCUGUGUCCAUAAUAGCCAUUAUUUCUUAAAAAAUCACUGAACAUAAUUAUAACAAUGCUUUCAUUAUAUUGUCAGUUAAAUCAACAUAAG
rnacentral:lncRNA from 1 species